rnacentral:rRNA from 1 species
AUGCUGCCGGCCGGCGUCAAGUUCGAUCCCACGGAUCAGGAGCUGAUCGAGCACCUUGAGGCCAAAGUGAGUGCUGAUAGCGCGAGAUCUCACCCUCUCAGCGAUUUGUUCAUACCAACCAUCGACAGCGAGCACGACAUAUGCUACACCCAUCCUGAGAAACUUCCAGGUAUCACACUGAGUGGCCUAAGCAAGCAUUUCUUCCAGCGCAAUUCCAGGGCGUUUAAAAGGGGCACAUGGACGCGUCGCAAGAUACAGUCGGAUUGCGGCAUGCACGCGAUGUGGCAGAACACCGGCCGGCAAACGGGCAGCAAAAAGGUUCUGGUGCUGCACACCAACAAGAACUUCGACCAGCAGAGGACCAACUGGGUGAUGCACCAGUACCACCUCGGGGACCUGGAGCAAGAGAAGGAGCGGGAGCUGGUCCUCUGCAAGAUUUUCUACCAGACGAACACUAGGGCCAGGAGUAAAAAGAUUAUAAGUUAG